UACGUAGGGUGCGAGCGUUGUCCGGAAUUAUUGGGCGUAAAGCGCUCGCAGGUGGUCCGCUGCGUCGUGCGUGAAAGACCCCGGCUCAACUGGGGGAUGUCGUGCGAUACUGCGUGGCUAGAGGUAGGUAGGGGAGAUCGGAAUUCCUGGUGUAGCGGUGAAAUGCGCAGAUAUCAGGAGGAACACCGGUGGCGAAGGCGGAUCUCUGGGCCUUACCUGACGCUCAGGCACGAAAGCUAGGGGAGCGAACAGG
rnacentral:rRNA from 1 species